UGGGGGAUAUUGCACAAUGGGCGAAAGCCUGAUGCAGCGACGCCGCGUGGGGGAUGAAGGCUUUCGGGUUGUAAACCUCUUUCGCUAUCGAACAAGGCCCGCUUAGGGUGGGUUGAGGGUAGGUGGAGAAGAAGCGCCGGCUAACUACGUGCCAGCAGCAGCGGUAAUACGUAGGGCGCGAGCGUUGUCCGGAAUUAUUGGGCGUAAAGGGCUUGUAGGCGGCUUGUUGCGCCUGCUGUGAAAACGCGGGGCUUAACUUCGCGCGUGCAGUGGGUACUGGCAGGCUUGAGUGUGGUAGGGGUGACUGGAAUUCCAGGUGUAGCGGUGGAAUGCGCAGAUAUCUGGAGGAACACCGAUGGCGAAGGCAGGUCACUGGGCCAUUACUGACGCUGGGGACCGAAAGCAUGGGUAGCGAACAGG
rnacentral:rRNA from 1 species